CGGGGAGUAGCGCAGCUUGGUUAGCGCACCUGCUUUGGGAGCAGGAGGUCGCGGGUUCGAAUCCCGCCUCCCCGACCA
rnacentral:tRNA from 1 species